UGGCGCCCAGCCGCGUUUUGAGAACCGUCCGCGUGGGAGACCGGCGGCGGCUGCUGCUGCUCGUGCUGUAGAGUCCAUUCCUUCCCUCCGCCCUUACCGCCUAGUCUUCCACCGAGUCAACCCCGGACCUCGACGCACGACGCCGACCUUGGUGACGCCGGCCGCGGAUCGGCGGCCGCGGCAGCUACCCAGGCAAAGGCAGAUGCUAAGAGUCGGCAGAGGGAGGAGGUUCACCGUCCGGGUACUCGUACGGUAUCACCGACAGCAGACCGAAGGAGGCCUGAUGCCACUACGAUAUCGAACACAGACACGACUGCCAUGUGACAGAAACACCCUCCUCUAACGACUUCUACUAGUUGAAGGUUAGACCUCUUUUACAUUUCAGAAACUCCCACCGUCAAGGGUGUAGGAUUAACAUGUCAAACCAAACGACGACAGUUCAGACUUUUACCAAUAACGUAUGAGUCUACCAGUUCACUUUCAGAUACUUGAAAACCUAAGCAACCUUAACCUGUUCACCGUCGAAGUCCGUCUCGAUGUCUUAUAAUAGCUAGGACAAAGGUCUUAACCCUUCGGUCGUACGUAAAGACGUAGUUAACGUACCUCAGGUUCUUCUCCACUUCCGGUCGUCCGAUCAAAACGAUAACCAAAGUUAAGCCUAAGAGGUUUGAAAUUGAGAACGUUCUAAACCCUCAAACUUCUUCGAGUGGUCGCGACCGAAGGUGAAUAACUUGAACCAAGUGGCCUCCUAUUCCCCCUCUCUCAUGUACGAGAUCGUACCCGAGGAUUGUAACCGUCUGGUAUACUCUACUAUCGUCAACGUUGGACGUUUCCAUAUCGUCACACCGUACAUCCGAAGUUGGGACUUAGACUGCCGUCUGACAGUUGUCUCUUACAACGACAUGAAGGACCGGUGUUACCCCUCCAUACGGUUGACCUUACCCUGUACCCGCCAUACUGCGAGCGUAGCUGGCCUCACCUACCGUACCAAUCCGAUACCGUUCGGUUGAAUUUACCUCAAACCGUACUCGUCCGACACGAACUGACGUUACCCAGUGUGGUCAUUCCCGACAAGUGUUGUUUAUCCUAGGGUUUAACGUCCGUGUUUCACUUGAAUUUACGGGAUUAUCGAGAAGUUGUACUUCUAUCCUAGGGUUUAACACCAACGAUAGACAAGUGUUAAGACGUUCCAAAGAAAUACAACAGAACACACCUUCCAUAUCGCGUACGUACCAACCGAAACGGGACUGUUUUGAUCCGAGGAGUUGGUACUUACGUACUACAUGGACAAUAGGAAUAGACCAACUACUACAUCGACAAGAAAUACCGGUACACUACCUUUUUUAAACCUAGUGUCAACUACUACAUAGACAAGAGAACAUUUGUUAAAUCGGACGACUGAUUGAAAUAAAAUAAGUUGACAGUUGUUUAGUCAAGUGUCAAAGGAACUUUAUCACAAGCCACAG
rnacentral:rRNA from 1 species